GUCAUCCGUGUCAGGGCGGGAAGGCGAUCAACUCCUCGAGCUUGCAAAUGACGACGGGCUGAAAAGUAUGUUUGACAUGACAUUUCUGUCGGUAUUUUGGAUCAGAGUCAAGGCUAAAUAUCCUGAGAUAGCCACGAAAGCACUGAAAACGUUGCUUCCAUUUCCAACAUUUUUCUGCAAUGAAUGCAACGAAAACUAAACUGCGGAAUAGACUUGGACAUCAGGAACCCCCUUCGAGUAUCGCUGUCUCCCAUCACCCCUCGAUAGGACCGUGUUGUCGCAGGGAAACAAGCCCAGGGCUCCCACUGAUUCAGCGAUAUUGAUGUUCCAGGGUUGAGUGAAGAGCCAACGAGAUGGCACCUUCUGCAGUCCUGUUGCUCCUGUAGGCAAAUUGGAGCAGAUCCAAGCCACUUCUCAGGCAGGAGUUGAUAUGUUUCAUCACCAACCUCUCAACACACUUCAUCACUGCGUACACAGAGCGGGGGAGCAAGUGUACCCAGUAAACGUGUAAUUACAGAGCACCUAAGAGAUGAACACCAGUUGGCCACACCAGACCCGACCAGAGCUGAUGAAACACGCAGGAAACGCAAAAGUGGAAGACACCGAGAGCCUGACAGAAACCCGUGAAUAGCACGCUGAAGUGUGAUGGUGUGAUGGAUCAUCUACCUUCAGUAACCAGUCGUCAUUACAGAGUAAUGACGACUGGUUACUGAAGGUAGAUGAUUAGUUGAAUAGCACUGAAUAGAAAAGAUAUUGGGGAAAAUAGAUGGGGAGGGAUUUAAGUUAAAGCAGAGACAGCAGGUUCCACAACUUCGAUGGCAUGGCAGACCGAGAAAGAAUGCACACGGCAUCUGAAGGCAGUCACCCCCAGCCUGAAUGGGGAGUGAAUACAAAUAAGCUGGGCCCUUUCAGCAGUCGACUGGACAGUUCGGAAGGGAGUACCAUCGGGGAGGAGAGGUCCUUACAGUCAUUCAAACAGAGACCACCCCAACCCCUUCCUGUACAUCGAUGAGAGGGCCUGUGAGCCUGAUGCACUUGCCUUGCUGGUGCCCGUGUAAGGUGAGAGUUUUAGCUGCCAGAGAAUGAAGGGGUGAAGACGAAGGAUGUGUUUAAGCUGAAACAGCCAGGCAGCGAAUGAACGAAGCCGCAUUUCCAAAGACUCUUCAAAUUUCCAGGACAACCUCUCUGCUUAGCAUUAUGUAGGUAGUGAUUAGGGAUGAUCGGGUAGAUGUAGAUACAUGUAAAGUAAUUGAGGGAAAUUCCGAGACAGGGCAUUUUUGCUGUCCUAUUUGAGAAGAUCCUCCUUUAGGUUAGCCUUUUCUGGUACAAAUUUACUUUUGUCCAGGAGGGCCAAGAGGAGGGACUGUUAGAACAAUUUUCGGGUUUAGCACAUUUACAUUUAGCAAAUCACUUUGGCCACCAGUCUUCCCUUCUGAAUAUGUACUGUGGAUUUAAUUUGGAGUGCAGCUCUGAACAAUGGGUCCCUAAAAACCAUGAAUCCCAGAGCAAACAAUACUGAUUAAAAUUCAUUUGGGUGUCUGUGGUGUGGGUAUGAAUCAGGAGGUGAAAUGUUUGUGUGUAGUUUCAAAGAAAGCAUUGUGGAUAUAUUGUAAAUAUGGAAUUGUCCUUUAAUGUUUAGCAUGCAAAAUAUUGAGCCCCACAGUGAGACCCUUCGACCAAAAGCAUCUCCGUAUGAUGCCUGCUGUAUAUUGUUUUGUUGAAUAAAGAAUCUGUUUUGUAUUUGCCAGUACUUUUCUCUGGUGAUUUCAUUCAUGCAACAACAACUCAUACAUCGCCACCAGAAGAUUGAAGAAUGGAUAUAUAGAUUAGAGAAAGGUGAAAAAAUAACAGGGUUGUUACAAGCGACUUCAACUUCCAUAAGACCAUAAGAUAUAGGAGCAGAAGUAGGCCAUUCAGCCCAUCGAGUCUGCUUCACCAUUCAAUCAUGGGCUGAUCCAAUUCUUCCAGUCAUUCCCCACUCCCCUGCUUUCACCCCAUACCCUUUGAUGCCCUGGCUAAUCAAGAACAUAUCUAUCUCUGCCUUAAAUACACCCAAUAACUUGGCCUCCACAGCCGCUUGUGGCAAAAGAUUCCAGAGAUUUACCACCCUCUGACUGAAGUAAUUUCUCUGCAUCUCAGUUCUAAAAGGACGUCCUUCAAUUCUGAAGUCGUGCCCUCUUGUCCUAGAAUCCCCUACCAUGGGAAAUAACUUUGCCACAUCUAAUCUGUUCAGGCCUUUUAACAUUCCGAAUGUUUCUAUGAGAUCCCCCCUCAUUCUCCUGAACUCCGGGGAAUACAAGAGCUGCCAGACGUUCCUCAUAUGGUCACCCUUUCAUUCUUGGAAUCAUUCUCGUGAGUCUUCUCUGAACCCUCUCCAAUGUCAGUAUAUCCUUUCUAAAAUAAGGAGCCAAAAACUGCACACAAUACUCCAAGUGUGGUCUCAUGAGUGCCUUAAAGAGCCUCAACAUCACAUCCCUGAUCUUAUAUUCUAUACCUCUAGAAAUGAAUGCCAACAUUGCAUUCGCCUCCUUCACAACCGACUCAACCCGGAGGUUAACCUUUCACAGGAUCACAAGACAAAGGAGCAGAAGUAGGCCAUUUGGCCCAUCGAGUCUCUCCGCAGCUCCCCCAUGAGCUAAACUAUUCACCCAUCUAGUUCCAAUUUUCAGCUUUUCCCCCAUAUCCCUUGAUACCUUGACUAAUUAGAUACCUGUCAAUCUCCUCCUUAAACACCCUCAAUGAUCGGGCCUCCACAGCUGUAUGCGGCAACGAAUUCCACAAAUCCACGACCCUCUGGCUAAAAAAAAUUUCUCCUCAUCUCUGUUUUAACUGGGUACCCUCUAAUUCUAAGACUAUGCCCUCUUGUCCUGGACUCACCCACCAAGGGAAACAACCUUUCCACAUCUACUCUGUCCAACCCUUUCAACAUUCGAAAUGUUUCUAUGAGAUCCCCUCUCAUUCUUCUAUACUCUAAUGAAUACAGUCCAAGAGCCGACAAACGCUCCUCAUAUGUUAGCCCCUGCAUUCCAGAAAUCAUCCUCGUAAAUCUUCUCUGAACUCUCUCUAACAUCAGUACAUCCUUUCUAAGAUAGGGGGCCCAAAACUGCACAUAGUAUUCCAAAUGAGGUCUCACUAAUGCCCCUUAGAGCCUCAACAACACCUCCUUACUCUUAUACACUAUUCCUCUUGAAAUGAAUGCCAACAUAGCAUUCGCUUUCCUUACUGCCGAUCCAACUUGGUGGUUAACCUUUAGGGUAUCCUGCACGAGGACCCCCAAGUCCCUAUGCACUUCCGAAUUUUGAAUUUUCUCCCCCAUCUAAAUAAUAAUCUGCCCGAUUAUUUCUUCUUCUGAAAUGUACAACCGUACAUUUGUCAACGUUGUAUCUCAUCUGCCAUUUCUUUGCCCACUCUCCUAAACUAACUAAGUCUCUCUGCAACCUUUCCGUUUCUUCAACAUUUCCUGCUCCUCCACCUAUCUUGGUGUCAUUUGCAAAACCAUUUAAUCCAUAAUCCAAAUCAUCGAUAUACAUCGUAAAAAGAAGCGGCCCCAACACUGACCCCUGCGGAACACCACUAGUAACCUGCAACCAAACAGAAUAGGAUCCCUUUAUUCCCACCCUUUGCUUUCUGCCUAUCAACCAAUGUUCCACCCAUUUCAAUAUCUUUCCUAUAAUUCCAUGGGCUCUCAUCUUAUUAAGCAGCCUCACAUGCGGCACCUUAUCGAAGGUCUUUUGAAAAUCCAAAUUCACAACAUCCACAGCCUCUCCCUUGUUAAUCUUAUUCGAGAUUACCUCAAAAAAUUCCGAUAGGUUGGUGAGGCAGGAUCUUCCCUUCAUGAAACCAUGCUGGCUUCGGCCUAUCUUGUCAUGCACCUUGAGGUAUUUCAUAACCUCGUCCUUGAGGAUUGACUCCAAUAUCUUUCCAGCUACCGA